AUUUGUAGCUAACAUUGUACUAGGAUCUGGAUCACUUAUCGGGCGUAUUCUAUCUUUACCUUCUACUGCUCUAAAUGUGCCAAACAAUAGGAUGCAUCCUCUUUCUCUUAGCUCUCUGCAGGAAGAAAGACUAAGAAAUUUGAGGCACUGGCUUGAAGUGCCCUUUGAUGGUUCCAAAACAGAGCACCAAGUAUAUCUCCAGGAAU